GAGAGAGAGUUUGGAGAGCUCCCCUCCUCUUUCUCUGUCUUGCUGCAGGCGGCAGUUAUGGUGUUUCAGUGCCUGGCUGUUUGCAAGUGUCACUGAUGAGCUGACUGGGAAAAUGAAGCACUUGAGUUUAAUUACCAGUUAAAAUUGCAGUUUUGCAAAGCAGGAAUGCUUAGCCCUGGCCUCAAUCCCACAAGUGCACACUCCAGCCACAAGUGGGACAAAGAGCACCUCGUGAAAACUACCCAACAAGAGUCACCUCACCAACCAAACUGAUGAAGUUCCUCUCCAGUCUGAAGAAGAAGAAGAAUCUCCUGAUGGUGAAACCCCUCCAAGCCCAGAGGAAGAAAGCAGCAGCAAAGACGA